rnacentral:rRNA from 1 species
GCGCCAGCAGCCGCGGUAACACCGGCAGCCCAAGUGAUGGCCGAUAUUAUUGGGCCUAAAGCGUCCGUAGCUGGCCGCGCAAGUUCGUCGGGAAAUCCACUCGCUUAACGAGUGGGCGUCCGGCGAAAACUGUGCGGCUUGGGACCGGAAGAUCCAAGGGGUACGUCCGGGGUAGGAGUGAAAUCCCGUAAUCCUGGACGGACCACCGAUGGCGAAAGCACCUCGAGAAGACGGCUCCGACAGUGAGGGACGAAAGCUAGGGUCUCCAACCGGAUUAGAAACCCGUGUAGUCC